rnacentral:rRNA from 1 species
GACGAACGCUGGCGGCGUGCUUAACACAUGCAAGUCGAGCGGUAAGGCCCUUUCGGGGGUACACGAGCGGCGAACGGGUGAGUAACACGUGGGUGACCUGCCCUCAGCUCUGGGAUAAGCCCGGGAAACUGGGUCUAAUACCGGAUAUGACUUCAUGACGCAUGUGUGGAGUGGAAAGCCUUGUGCGGCUGAGGAUGGGCCCGCGGCCUAUCAGCUUGUUGGUGGGGUGANGGCCUACCAAGGCGACGACGGGUAGCCGGCCUGAGAGGGCGACCGGCCACACUGGGACUGAGAUACGGCCCAGACUCCUACGGGA